UCCUGGCUCAGGAUGAACGCUAGCUACAGGCUUAACACAUGCAAGUCGAGGGGCAGCGAGAGGAAAGCUUGCUUCCUUGUCGGCGACCGGCGCACGGGUGAGUAACGCGUAUCCAACCUUCCCCAUAGUAGAGGAUAGCCCGGCGAAAGUCGGAUUAAUACUCUAUGUUGUGUUAUGAGGACAUCUGAAUAACACUAAAGAUUUAUCGCUAUGGGAUGGGGAUGCGUCUGAUUAGCUUGUUGGCGGGUAACGGCCCACCAAGGCGACGAUCAGUAGGGGUUCUGAGAGGAAGGUCCCCCACAUUGGUACUGAGACACGGACCAAACUCCUACGGGAGGCAGCAGUGAGGAAUAUUGGUCAAUGGACGAGAGUCUGAACCAGCCAAGUAGCGUGCAAGGAUGACUGCCCUAUGGGUUGUAAACUGCUUUUAUGCGGGAAUAAAGUCAGGUACGUGUACCUGUUUGUAUGUACCGCAUGAAUAAGGACCGGCUAAUUCCGUGCCAGCCGCUGC
rnacentral:rRNA from 1 species